GGAGGCAACUGGACUUCUUUGAUUUUUCUUUGAAGACGUUUCGCUUCUCAAUCCAGAAGCUACUUCAGCUUGGACAGGAGAGUAAGGAAUGGAAGGGUUUCUAUUCCUUGCAUUAUGAAGGGUUUCAUAAUCCUUCCCUUCCCCACUAUCCAGUUAGAGCAGAAGAAGCUUGAGCCUGAGGAUACAAACAAACCUCCACGUGGCCU